rnacentral:rRNA from 1 species
GACAGAGGCCUCAAGCGUUAGGCGGAAUCACUGGGCUUAAAGCGUGUGUAGGCGGAUCGUUAAGUGUCUUGUGAAAUCCCACGGCUCACUCGUGGAACUGCUGGGCAUACUGGCGAUCUUGGGCCAACUAGGGGCAGCCGGAACAAGCGGUGGAGCGGUGAAAUGCGUAGAUAUCGCUUGGAACGCCGAAGGUGAAAACAGGCUGCUGGGGUUGUGCCGACGCUGAGACACGAAAGCCAGGGGAGCAAACGGG